rnacentral:rRNA from 1 species
AAACCAGCACCUCAAGUGGUCAGGAUGAUUAUUGGGCCUAAAGCAUCCGUAGCCGGCUCUGUAAGUUUUCGGUUAAAUCUGUACGCUUAACGUACAGGCUGCCGGGAAUACUGCAGAGCUAGGGAGUGGGAGAGGUAGACGGUACUCGGGAGGAAGCGGUAAAAUGCUUUGAUCUCUCGAUGACCACCUGUGGCGAAGGCGGUCUACCAGAACACGUCCGACGGUGAGGGAUGAAAGCUGGGGGAGCAAACCGGAUUAGAUACCCGAGUAGUCC